rnacentral:rRNA from 1 species
AUGGAUUGUCUCAUCUCGUGGGAUUUCUCCUAUGGCCAGAAGGUGGCCACACAGGUGCGUCGACGUUCCAAAUCUUUGGUUCAUUUCGAUGGUUCUCCCUCCUCUUCAGCUUUCUUCUUGGUUGUGGCAUUCAAUCAUUCUUCCUUCUGGUUGGAUCUGGACUCGGUAGCCAUGGCUUUGUGUUCUUGCCUGGGU